rnacentral:rRNA from 1 species
CCUACGGGCGGCUGCAGUGGGGAAUAUUGGACAAUGGGCGAAAGCCUGAUCCAGCCAUGCCGCGUGUGUGAAGAAGGCCUUCGGGUUGUAAAGCACUUUCAGUGGGGAAGAAAGCCUUGGGGCUAAUACCCUCGAGGAAGGACAUCACCCACAGAAGAAGCACCGGCUAACUCCGUGCCAGCAGCCGCGGUAAUACGGAGGGUGCGAGCGUUAAUCGGAAUUACUGGGCGUAAAGCGCGCGUAGGCGGUCUGAUAAGCCGGUUGUGAAAGCCCCGGGCUCAACCUGGGAACGGCAUCCGGAGAGGGCAGGAGAGAGGAGAGGAGAGGAAGGUGAAACCCCGGGUGUAGGGGUGAAGUGGGUAGAGACGGGAAGGAAAACGAGUGGAGGGGGGGGCUUUCUGGAUGAAAACUGACGGGGAGGGGCGAAAGCGUGGGUAGCAAACAGGAGUGGAAACACCAGUAGUC